GGAGAGUUGCCAGAGAGGUCGAAUGGGGCGGUCUCGAAAACCGUUGUGGGUGCAAGCCUACCUAGGGUUCGAAUCCCUAACUCUCCGCCA
rnacentral:tRNA from 1 species